UCGAUCGACGCAGAAUGAACAGUGUUGAUCGACGGUGGAUGAACAAUGUCAGUCGACACGGGAUAAAUAGUGUCGAGAUAAACAGUACCUUGAUGAACAGUACUGGGAUGAAAAGUACCGUGGUGAACAGUGUUGUCUGACACAAGUUGGAUAGUGUCGUUCGAUGCUUGGUUCACGCCGUCGAUCGAUGCUGCUUGGAGGGUGUCGAUCGAUGCUUCCCUCGUAGACUUACGGACCGUGCGUGAAUCAGCAGACUCCUUCUUUGAAGAACCCCAUAAAUCCUCUCUUCAUUGUUGUUCCUGGUACUGAGAUUUAUGUACCUGAAACAAAAGAAAUUUUUUAUCAGUUUUUUGAACAAUAGUAAAAUCUAGACUAAAUCUAACUAAACAAGAUUUAAUGGCGAUCAAAGCUCCCCGGCAAC
rnacentral:lncRNA from 1 species